CGAGUAGGGCGGGACACGUGAUAUCCUGUCUGAAUAUGGGGGGACCAUCCUCCAAGGCUAAAUACUACUGACUGACCGAUAGUGAACCAGUACCGUGAGGGAAAGGCGAAAAGAACCCCUGUGAGGGGAGUGAAAUAGAACCUGAAACCGUGUACGUACAAGCAGUAGGAGCACCUUCGUGGUGUGACUGCGUACCUUUUGUAUAAUGGGUCAGCGACUUAAUUUUAGUAGCAAGGUUAACCGUUUAGGGGAGCCGUAGGGAAACCGAGUCUUAACUGGGCGUACAGUUGCUAGGAUUAGACCCGAAACCAGGUGAUCUAGCCAUGGGCAGGUUGAAGGUUGAGUAACAUCAACUGGAGGACCGAACCGACUAAUGUUGAAAAAUUAGCGGAUGACUUGUGGCUAGGGGUGAAAGGCCAAUCAAACCUGGAGAUAGCUGGUUCUCCCCGAAAGCUAUUUAGGUAGCGCCUCGGACGAAUACUACUGGGGGUAGAGCACUGUUAAGGCUAGGGGGUCAUCCCGACUUACCAACCCUUUGCAAACUCCGAAUACCAGUAAGUACUAUCCGGGAGACACACGGCGGGUGCUAACGUCCGUCGUGGAGAGGGAAACAACCCAGACCGCCAGCUAAGGUCCCAAAGUAUAGCUAAGUGGGAAACGAUGUGGGAAGGCUCAGACAGCCAGGAUGUUGGCUUAGAAGCAGCCAUCAUUUAAAGAAAGCGUAAUAGCUCACUGGUCGAGUCGGCCUGCGCGGAAGAUGUAACGGGGCUAAGCUAUACACCGAAGCUGCGGCUACGUACCUUAGGGUAUGUGGGGUAGGGGAGCGUUCUGUAAGCCGUUGAAGGUGGUCUGUAAGGGCUGCUGGAGGUAUCAGAAGUGCGAAUGCUGACAUGAGUAACGAUAAAGGGAGUGAAAAACUCCCUCGCCGGAAGACCAAGGGUUCCUGUCCAACGUUAAUCGGGGCAGGGUAAGUCGACUCCUAAGGCGAGGCCGAAAGGCGUAGUCGAUGGGAAAC
rnacentral:rRNA from 1 species